UACGGGGGGGGCAAGCGUUGUUCGGAAUUACUGGGCGUAAAGGGCUCGUAGGCGGCCAACUAAGUCAGACGUGAAAUCCCUCGGCUUAACCGGGGAACUGCGUCUGAUACUGGAUGGCUAGAGGUUGGGAGAGGGAUGCGGAAUUCCAGGUGUAGCGGUGAAAUGCGUAGAUAUCUGGAGGAACACCGGUGGCGAAGGCGGCAUCCUGGACCAAUUCUGACGCUGUAGAGCGAAAGCGUGGGGAGCGAACAGG
rnacentral:rRNA from 1 species